rnacentral:lncRNA from 1 species
CAGGGACCAAGCUCUGCUCAGACAAUAGUGAGCAGAUGGCCUUCCACUCUAAGUUCAACAGGGACCCAGGGACAAAGUUCUGCUGAGACAACAGUGAACUGAUGGCCUUCCACUCUAAGUUCCAACUGCAUGGAAUGUGUAUUCCAUGAAUGCUUGUUAAAUGAAAUGGACAUUUACAUGAUUUUGAGCACUUGGGACUCCCCUGGGGUUCACUGGUAUUGCACGGUCCGGGCUGGGGAUCUUCUGCUGGAGAGGCCCCAGCGUGCCCAGCGCAGGGUCCUGAGUGUGUUGCUGCAGGACAAGCUCUGGGCUUUGCCCUGCAGCGGCCGUCGCUCUGGGAAGAGCUGGCUGCUCCAGGAAUGAGGCCUAUGCUCUGAAGCUCACAUUCAGCAGACCAGCAAAGGUCAGCACAGAUGACCUUAUAUGAAUCAUUCAUUUAACAAGCAUUCAUGGAAUACACAUUCCAUGCAGUUGGAACUUAGAGUGGAAGGCCAUCAGUUCACUGUUGUCUCAGCAGAACUUUGUCCCUGGGUCCCUGUUGAACUUAGAGUGGAAGGCCAUCUGCUCACUAUUGUCUGAGCAGAGCUUGGUCCCUGGGUCCCUGUUGAACUUAGAGUGGAAGGCCAUCAACUCACUGUUGUCUGAGCAGAGCUUGGUCCCUGGGUCCCUGUUGAACUUAGAGUGGAAGGCCAUCAGCUCACUGUUGUCUGAGCAGAGCUUGGUCUCUGGCUCCCUUUUGUAGCCUCCGCUCCUAGGAGGUGCACGGUGAGUGUUGGGGGACCCUCCACAGGCACAAUUGCUGAACAAGGACCCCUCCCAAGGGUGUCAGCCCUAGGCCCUGAGCUCUGAAGAGGAGGAAGGCAUUCCUGGGGCCAUCUCCCCUUCUGGAUACUGAGCUCUGCACAGAGAGAAACUCUUCCACAUUCACUGCAGUGAAGUUCAUACUUUAGAGACUGGGGCCUGCAUUCCCCAGAAUUUCCAUGGCCACAGGUGGUGGCCGCACCAUGCGACUGGUGUCUAUGUUCCCUGGAAUUUCCGUGGCCAUAGAUGGUGGCUGUACCAUGUGACUGGGGUCUGCAUUCCCUGGAAUUUCCGUGACUGCAGGUGGUGGCUGCACCAUGCGACUGGAGUCUGUGUUCCCAGGAUUUCUGUGACCACAGGUGGUAGCUGCACCAUGCGACUGGAGUCUGUGUUCCCCAGGAUUUCUGUGACCACAGGUGGUAGCUGUACCAUGUAACUGAGGGUCUGCGUUCCCCUGAAUUUCCGUGGCCAUAGGUGGUGGCUGUACCAUGGGAAUGAGGGUCUCUGUUCUCUGGAAUUUCCAUGGCCAUAGGUAGUGGCUGUACCAUG